rnacentral:tRNA from 1 species
GCCCUCGUAGUUCAAUGGACAGAACAGGAGACUUCUAAGCUCUCAAUGCAGGUUCGAUUCCUGCCGAGGGCA